rnacentral:rRNA from 1 species
GAUGAACGCUGGCGGCGUGCUUAACACAUGCAAGUCGAACGGAAAGGCCCAAGCUUGCUUGGGUACUCGAGUGGCGAACGGGUGAGUAACACGUGGGUGAUCUGCCCUGCACUUCGGGAUAAGCCUGGGAAACUGGGUCUAAUACCGGAUAGGACGAUGGUUUGGAUGCCAUUGUGGAAAGUUUUUUCGGUGUGGGAUGAGCUCGCGGCCUAUCAGCUUGUUGGUGGGGUAAUGGCCUACCAAGGCGUCGACGGGUAGCCGGCCUGAGAGGGUGUACGGCCAGAUGUGGGAUGGAGUGCGGGCCCAGCCCCCGAGGGGGGGAGGGAGGGGGAAUGUGGGAAAAGGGGGGGCGAGCCGGAUGCGGCGGGGCCGGGGGGGGGUGGACGUCUGUGGGUUUGAAACCCCUUUGGGCAAGGGGGGAAGUUUUUUGGGGAGGUUCCGUGGAGAAGAACCACGGCCAAACAACGGC